AUGUUGAGGAAAGAUACUGCUACAAAUUCCGGGCAAUUAUAUAUCACCAAUGGCGAACAACCAGAUCUUGCUUAUCGUAUCCUCUUGAAUAUACCUGUCACCGUUGCAUCAGCUGAAAGAAGUUUCUCAAAACUGAAAUUACUAAAUUAUUUGAGGUCAACAAUGUCCCAAGAAAGACUGAAUGGUUUGGCCAUAUGCUGCAUCGAGAAGAAUACAUUGGACAGUAUUGAUCUUGACAUUAUCAUUGAUGAUUUUGCGUCAAAAAAUGCACGGAAGUCUCGCUUCGCAUGA
rnacentral:rRNA from 1 species